GAACGUGAAGCAAUCUGGCUAUCUGUCACCCUGUUGAUCGCCAGGGUUGAUUGCGCUGUUCUGGCUGGCUGGGCGGGUGUCCCCUUCCUGCCUCACCUCUCCAAGUGUGUACCUUCCGAAGCUGCAUGCUCGGCUGAAGAGGACACCUUCGCUGACAGAGGAGGACUGUUUUCAGUCAAUGGUUUACAAGUAGCAUGCUCCCCUGCUAGAACCUCCAAACAAGCUCUCAAGAUAUGCUCGUUGAUACUCUUUAAUUUAAAAAUACAAAUAAAAAGUUUGUCAAAAAUUU
rnacentral:snRNA from 1 species